rnacentral:lncRNA from 10 species
CUCAACCACAGUCCCUCCGAGAAACAUCCUCAAAGGGACCACAUCUCAACUCUUGUCCUGGAAAAGAUGUUGAUGCCUGAACUUGGAGCACCAUAAAUGGAGCAGGCAUGCCCCUCUGUCCAAACAGCAGACCCCAUCAGAUGUCCCCAGCACCAGGCUGCCAGCCAACAAGAGGGCAGCUCCGCACAGCUGCAUUGCAAAGCAGCAGACCAGGGCGAGCUACUAACAUGUGGAUGCCGCCACUCCACAACUUGCUUAAAAGCCACACUGUGUUUCCUGGACAAUGGCCGCAGGCCAAAACACACACAUUCCAGUUUUUACGACUAUAAGAUCUCCAGUUGCUCCUGGUAACAUCAAAUGAAGACAGAAAUUCUUGUAUUGCCCAUGCGAGAUUCCCCAAGUCCCUCAUCCUACAGACCCAAGAAGGAAGCAUGUGAAGAGAGCGAAGCUAAACGUUGAAGGUCCUGGUUGGAGUUGGUGGUCAACUCCACUGUUGCUUGGAUCACUAGGCAUUAAAGGGUUCUGAGGCUGCAUUUAGGCCUUUCCAGAGAGAACACUGUCAUCCAUUAGCAAUGGCUGCCAUUGCUAUGGGCACAGGAUUGGACAGUAGAAAGAUGAAUAUUAUAUAUUUGUCGGGUUAGGUCAUCUCCGAAGUCCCUUCCAGUUCUAAGAUUUUGCAAUAAGAGCCUUGAGCAGGAAUCAGGUUUCUUUCUUGAACUUAAAUGAGAA